UGGUGCCCUUUUCUCAGUCUAUGCAUUUUGUAUUUUUAUUUGCUCCGCUUGCUUCUUUUCAUUAUAAAUCUUCAUCAGAGUUAACACUAAUGACCACACGAUAGAGGCUGUACUAGGUUGUUCUGAGUUUUCCUCUACCAAAGGAAUUAAUCCAAAUCUCUUUACUUUAGCCUCAGUCAGACUCUUCAGACAAGGGCAAAUUAUCACAAGAACAAUCUCUAAGCCACAUAUUAACAUUCUCCUCUAAAUCUCUUGAGCCAGCGCCCCACAGUUCAAAUAACACUCAGCACCACUAUUUUCCAUGCUUCUACUAAGAUGGCCCAUUAAUCAGCACUUAAAGCAUUCAACUAUUUUUCUAAUCCACAACUCCAAGGUGCAUAUUCUUUCAAACAAAAGCAUGAUUAGGCCUAUUGCAGCAAUAUCCCAGUCCCUGGUAACAAACUCAGUCUUAGGGUGUCUAUUGCUGUGAAGAGACACCAUGACCACAGCAACUCUUAUAAAGGAAAAACUUUAAUUGGGGUGACUUACAUGUUCAGAGGCUUAGCCUGUUAUUGUCGUGGUGCAACAUGGUGGUGUGCAGGCAGACGUGGUGCCGGAGAAGUAGCCGAGUGUCCUACAUCCUGACCUGCAGGCAACAGGAAGUGGUCUUGUGCAAGACUGUCUUAUUUGGUCAUUACACCAACUCUGCAAGCAGAGGAAACAGCACUUUGGGGACAUGGAAGUUUCAGGGCCAAGCCCAGGAAAGAUCCCUGACAAAGCAGAACGGCUGUUCAACCUAAUUUCUUCAUGUUUUCUCACUCCCAGAGAUGGAGAGUUUUGCUGCCUAGAAAGGUCACUGUCACUCUUCUCUGGGUCAGCGCUACAGCUUCCAAAGGGUGCACCGGGAGGAGAGCAAUGCUCGCUAAUUUAUCACUGUAAAACGAAUCGGAUCCCAUGGAACUACAGUUAUAGAUCGUUGUGAGCCACCAUGUGCUGGAAAUUUAAUCCAGAUCCUCUGUAAGAGGACCAGUGCUCUUAACCAGAGUCACCUCUCCAGUCCUGCUAAUCUUCAUUUUUCAACUGGACUGGAUAGAAUUAUCUAGGAGACUGAUGGGCAUGUCUACAGCGUAUUUAUGAGGACGUUUCCAGAAAGGAUCAGCUGCAGGGGAAGACACCUUGAAUGCAGGCAGUGCCAUCCCUUCGACUGUAACAAAUGGAUGAAGACGACAAAGCCAGCCAAGAGCCACUGUCCCUGCCUUUGCAUCUUGGCCUGUCAUGAAGGAAGGCUCUGCUCUGUCUCACCCAUCACUGUGAGGCAAAAGGACUCCCUCCUCCUUCAAGUUGUUUCUUCCGGGUACUGUGGUCACCACAGCACGACACAAUGGUACCUAACAUGCAGUAUGGAAGAGGUGGUCUGGCACUGACACCCAUGCAGACUCCUCUGCCAGUGCUUUUGUCGGUGGAUGGAUGAGGAGAUCACAGUCUCACAGGAAGUUAACUUGUUCUCAGCUGGAGCUUGGUUGGAAUUCUCUCACUCUCCCCACCUUCUCUGUCCUGGGCUGUCAGCUAACCACAAAGCAACAAUGACGUUCUCCUUUUUCCCCCGAAGAUUUUUUCGCAUAUUAUAUCUUUUGUAUAUAAGGAAAAUACAGAAAGGAUUGAAUUUUAAACAUUCCUAGCCUUUUGUGGGUGUUGAAGUAUUUGGGGCUAAAUCUUGAUCUGUGUGAUGUAAUUUCACCACCAUCUUCUGAGAUAAAAUUGUAAAAUACAAAUAGCAACUUUAGACUAGUUUAAAGUAAACUAAUAAUAUG